GACGAACGCUGGCGGCGUGCUUAACACAUGCAAGUCGAACGAUGAAGCCGGAGCUUGCUCUGGUGAAUUAGUGGUGAACGGGUGAGUAACACGUGAGUAACCUGCCCUUGACUCUGGGAUAACUGCGGGAAACUGUAGCUAAUACCGGAUACGACCCUCGGAGGCAUCUCCUGGGGGUGGAAAGAAUUUCGGUCAAGGAUGGACUCGCGGCCUAUCAGCUAGUUGGUGAGGUAAAGGCUCACUAAGGCGACGACGGGUAGCCGGCCUGAGAGGGUGACCGGCCACACUGGGACUGAGACACGGCCCAGGCUCCUACGGGAGGCAGCAGUGGGGGAUAUUGCACAAUGGGCGCAAGCCUGAUGCAGCAACGCCGCGUGAGGGAUGACGGCCUUCGGGUUGUAAACCUCUUUUAGCAGGGAAGAAGCGAAAGUGACGGUACCUGCAGAAAAAGCACCGGCUAACUACGUGCCAGCCGCCGCGGUAA
rnacentral:rRNA from 1 species